CGUAAUCGAUUUUUCUUAUGCAAAAUGUUAAUAUUUUAUAUUAACGUUAUAUGCUGCGUUAACAACCCAUAGAUUAUCGAUGAAUGCUAAAGAAAAAAAAUCUGGACUGGAAAAGUUCCCCCCGGAGAUCUAGUGCGACAUCUAGUGGCAAAAGUGAGUUUCUGGCCACUCCACUGACUGCGUGAAUCUGCACCACGAUCAGCUCGGUGCGGCUCUAUAAUGCUCAGACUGAGUUUCGCAUGGUCUACAUCAUCACCACCAAACACAUCGCACAGGCCAGUCUUUUCACCGGAUCACUUCUGCGAAAAGACAGUCCUCAUACUUUAUAUAGCAGCUGGUUUACUGUAACUGUUUACUAAGGUUCCCUAUAAGCAGUGGCGUUCAGUUAAAGCAUUUUCAGUAUCAAUUUAAUUCACCACCUAUAUGUCCUAUGUUUGUUUUAGGUCUUAUGGAGUGGGUUUCUUCAGCAUGGCAUCUGGUAGUGAUGAACCGGACACAUUAAAGAACCCAAAGCACACCAAUCGCCUGAGUUUCCUUGAGGACAUGAAGCCUUUGAUAAAGCGAAGAGUGAAGACAAGCACAUUUGUCUUUCAGUGUCUUUUAGUGGCAGAGAAACAGAGAAACCCUGGAGUCUAGUGGAGAGAGAGUACUGGUUUUCGAGAGGCUCUGAAGUUCCCUUCAUCAGUAAAUCGUGCCAGCUCUGAGGGAGCAGAAGCACUGCAAAUGGCCCUUCACACUCUCUGAAUGAUGGCAUUGGGGGGCAUUCAUGACCAUGUGGCACAGAUACUCCACAGACUCCUCCUGGCAUGUCCCUCACUUUGAAAUGAUGUUAUAUGACCCAGGCCAGCUUGCUGUGGCCUAUAUCGCUGCUUACCAGGUGGGAAUAUGUAUCUGUGUUUUAAUAAAGGAUAUAUUUUCUGUGAUUCUUAUCUCUCUAGAUAACUGCUUAUGUCCAGAAAGUAAUAAUGAAACACUGUUCUGUAUUUCUGGAGUGUGAAGACAGAAUACGGGCUGUAUUGUUAUGUUCUGUGUUUAGCUUUCAAAUGCUCAAGUUAAAGAAAUAGUUUACCCAAAAAAUGUUACU